rnacentral:lncRNA from 1 species
UUUCCAAAGAUGAGAAAGAGCCUGUUGUCAGGGAAGGCAGGGAAGCUAUUCAGUACUUUCAGACAGGGGUAACUGUUGUCGUCCGCAAGUCCGCUUGCAGACCUAGGUUCGGGAGCCCGGACCGGACAGGGAGGGUAAGGCGCAGAGUCACCAGCCGACUCCAGGGAGGUUUCUGGAACGUUUCCGCUUUAUUGAGGAACUACACAAACUUAUACAGUGAAAUAAAAGGGCGAUUACAUAGGCGGGGUUAUAACGGCUUUAGCCUUGACAUAAUUUAAUUGGAUGGAAAGGGAUAUAACUAUACACAAUGGAGAACAUAGUUAAAUUUAUUUUAAACUGUAUGGGGUAAUCGUCUGGGCGAGGCAAAGGAGUCACGACCCAAAGAGUGAGGAGGUAUGGUCGACUUGAUCUAGUUUCUACGCACUGGAGUGAGCUUGCUCAACUCUGUUUUUUGUCUUUGAGCAUGCUCAAGAGACCGGAGUGCGGCGUACUUGACCCAGCCAGACCUGAACUUCUCCUUCAGGACAUAAAUGAUGCACAAUAAUGUCAAGAUCAAAUAUUAAGAAAUGAUGAAGGGAAAGUGAACUCCAGUGAAGGACAAACAGGCAGAAGUCGCCAGCCAGAGGUACAUUCAGGAUCCUAAAAAAAUUCCAGAAACACUGGACAGUGAUACAGCACAGGAC